UUUUAUGGAGAGUUUGAUCCUGGCUCAGGAUGAACGCUGGCGGCGUGCCUAAUACAUGCAAGUCGAGCGAACGGACGAGAAGCUUGCUUCUCUGAUGUUAGCGGCGGACGGGUGAGUAACACGUGGAUAACCUACCUAUAAGACUGGGAUAACUUCGGGAAACCGGAGCUAAUACCGGAUAAUAUUUUGAACCGCAUGGUUCAAAAGUGAAAGACGGUCUUGCUGUCACUUAUAGAUGGAUCCGCGCUGCAUUAGCUAGUUGGUAAGGUAACGGCUUACCAAGGCAACGAUGCAUAGCCGACCUGAGAGGGUGAUCGGCCACACUGGAACUGAGACACGGUCCAGACUCCUACGGGAGGCAGCAGUAGGGAAUCUUCCGCAAUGGGCGAAAGCCUGACGGAGCAACGCCGCGUGAGUGAUGAAGGUCUUCGGAUCGUAAAACUCUGUUAUUAGGGAAGAACAUAUGUGUAAGUAACUGUGCACAUCUUGACGGUACCUAAUCAGAAAGCCACGGCUAACUACGUGCCAGCAGCCGCGGUAAUACGUAGGUGGCAAGCGUUAUCCGGAAUUAUUGGGCGUAAAGCGCGCGUAGGCGGUUUUUUAAGUCUGAUGUGAAAGCCCACGGCUCAACCGUGGAGGGUCAUUGGAAACUGGAAAACUUGAGUGCAGAAGAGGAAAGUGGAAUUCCAUGUGUAGCGGUGAAAUGCGCAGAGAUAUGGAGGAACACCAGUGGCGAAGGCGACUUUCUGGUCUGUAACUGACGCUGAUGUGCGAAAGCGUGGGGAUCAAACAGGAUUAGAUACCCUGGUAGUCCACGCCGUAAACGAUGAGUGCUAAGUGUUAGGGGGUUUCCGCCCCUUAGUGCUGCAGCUAACGCAUUAAGCACUCCGCCUGGGGAGUACGACCGCAAGGUUGAAACUCAAAGGAAUUGACGGGGACCCGCACAAGCGGUGGAGCAUGUGGUUUAAUUCGAAGCAACGCGAAGAACCUUACCAAAUCUUGACAUCCUUUGACAACUCUAGAGAUAGAGCCUUCCCCUUCGGGGGACAAAGUGACAGGUGGUGCAUGGUUGUCGU
rnacentral:rRNA from 1 species